rnacentral:rRNA from 1 species
UAAUUUGGAGAGGAUGCUUUGGGCGCGGCGCCUUCCGAGUUCCUUGGAACAGGACGCCAGAGAGGGUGAGAGCCCCGUACGGUCGGACGCCUAGCCCGUGCAAAGCUCCUUCGACGAGUCGAGUAGUUUGGGAAUGCUGCUCAAAAUGGGAGGUAAAUUUCUUCUAAAGCUAAAUACCGGCCAGAGACCGAUAGCGCACAAGUAGAGUGAUCGAAAGAUGAAAAGCACUUUGAAAAGAGGGUUAAACAGCACGUGAAAUUGUUGAAAGGGAAGCGCCUGUGGCCAGACGUGCGCCCCGCGGACCACCCGUCGCUCUGCGGCGGGGCACGCCGCGGCGGCGCAGGCCAGCAUCGGCUCUCCCAGGGGGACAAAGGCCGCGGGAACGUAGCUCCUUCGGGAGUGUUAUAGCCCGCGGCGCCAUGCCUCUGGGGGGGCCGAGGACCGCGCCUUCGGGCAAGGAUGCUGGCGUAAUGGCCACCAGCGACCCGUCUUGAAACACGGACCAAGGAGUCAAGCAUUGGGGCGAGUGUUUGGGUGACAAACCCGCACGCGAAAUGAAAGUGAACGCAGGUGGGAGCCUCCGGGCGCACCACCGACCGAUCCUGAAGUUUUCGGAUGGAUUUGAGUAGGAGCCUUGCCGC